CCUACGGGGGGCAGCAGUGAGGAAUAUUGGUCAAUGGACGAGAGUCUGAACCAGCCAAGUCGCGUGAAGGAUGACUGCCCUAUGGGUUGUAAACUUCUUUUAUAAGGGAAUAAAACGAGCCACGUGUGCCUUUUUGCAUGUACUUUAUGAAUAAGCAUCGGCUAACUCCGUGCCAGCAGCCGCGGUAAUACGGAGGAUCCGAGCGUUAUCCGGAUUUAUUGGGUUUAAAGGGUGCGUAGGCGGGUUGUUAAGUCAGUUGUGAAAGUUUGGGGCUCAACCGUAAAAUUGCAUUUGAUACUGGCAGUCUUGAGUGCAGUUGAGGUAGGCGGAAUGCGUGGUGUAGCGGUGAAAUGCUUAGAUAUCACGAAGAACCCCGAUUGCGAAGGCAGCUUACUAAGCUAUGACUGACAUUGAUGCACGAAAGCGUGGGUAUCAAACAGGAUUAGAUACCCCAGUAGUC
rnacentral:rRNA from 1 species